rnacentral:rRNA from 1 species
AUGAACGCUGGCGGCGUGCUUAAUACAUGCAAGUCGAACGAAGCUCCUUAUCUUCGGACGAGGAGUCUUAGUGGCGAACGGGUGAGUAACGCGUUGGUGACCUGCCCCGAAGUGUGGAAUAACAAUUCGAAAGAAUUGCUAAUACCGCAUGUGAUCUUGGAGAUUAGAACCUCUUUGAUUAAAGGAUUUAUUCGCUUCGGGAGGGGCCUGCGUCCCAUCAGCUAGUUGGUAGGGUAAUGGCCUACCAAGGCUUUGACGGGUAGGGGACCUGAGAGGGUGGCCCCCCACAAUGGAACUGAAACACUGUCCAUACACCUACGGGUGGCAGCAGUAGGGAAUAUUAGUAAUGGGCGAAAGCCUGAACUAGCAACACCGCGUGUGCGAUGAAGGCCUUCGGGUUGUAAAGCACUUUUCGGGAGGAUGAGGAAGGACGGUACUCCCGGAAUAAGUCUCGGCUAACUACGU